rnacentral:lncRNA from 1 species
AACUCUUUCUUUGAGUGCUCUUGGCUUUGCAUGUCAGAGCAGUGAUGACAUGACACCAGUGAGUAGAAACGUUGAGUCAUUAGCAUAAAUCAGACGACACCAUAGUUAGUAGUUAUGUAAGCCUCUUAGGUCAAAUUAUUCUUUCUUGCACCCAACUUAUGUAAUAUGGUUCGUUGUUCUCAAAGACCAUAAAGGCUUAUCCAC